CCUACGGGAGGCAGCAGCAAGGAAUUUUGCGCAAUGGGCGAAAGCCUGACGCAGCGACGCCGCGUGAGGGAUGAAGAUCUUCGGAUUGUAAACCUCUUUUGCCGGGGAAGACACAGACGGUACUCGGCGAAUAAGUCACGGCUAACUACGUGCCAGCAGCCGCGGUAAUACGUAGGUGGCGAACGUUAUCCGGAUUUACUGGGCGUAAAGCGCGCGCAGGCGGUGUCGUAAGUUGGACGUGAAAUCUUUCGGCUCAACCGGGAGGCGCCGUUCAAUACUGCGACACUUGAGGGCAGAAGAGGGGAGUGGAAUUCCCGGUGUAGGGGUAAAAUCCUUAGAGAUCGGGAGGAACACCAGUGGCGAAGGCGGCUCCCUGGCCUGUUCCUGACGCUGAGGCGCGAAAGCGUGGGGAGCGAACGGGAUUAGAUACCCUGGUAGU
rnacentral:rRNA from 1 species